GAAAAAAUUGUGAGGAUCAACAAUUUACCUGUGGUCAAUGUAUCUGAUGAGCAGGCCAUGAGCGAGUUUGUUGAGUCUGGUACUAGUUCCUUAGGUCUGGUAUGUGGUAAAAGACGUGUGGAAUUUGCAUUUGCCCAAUUUGCAUCACAAAAUUCAGAUGCUCGUUCAGAAUGAUCAGAAUUGGAUAUUUAUUUGGAGGACCCAAGGAUCCUUGUGAGGUCAGAUGAGAACUUCAAUGUUCUAGCAUGGUGGAAGAAGAAUUCAGAUGCAUAUCCAGUCUUGUCUUUGAUGGCUAGAGAUUUCCUUGCUAUCCCUGUGAGCACAGUGUCCUCAGAGUCUGCAUUUAAUGCUGAUAGAAGAAUCCUUGGUAAAGAUAGGACUUCACUCUCCCCUGAAACUCUUGAAGCCCUAAUUUGUACUAAAGAUUGGUUGAUUGGAUUCAAUGAUGAAGAGGAAGGCGAACCAAUGAGUGGAAAAAGGAUGUUCGGUUCAGAUGAUGAUGAAGAUGAUGAGUGAAGGCCCUUUGCAUAAGGCUCCUUAUUUUUCAGGCUCUAUGUUGCGUAUUCUGCUUCUGGCUAAGAUACAUGCUUACUGGAUGGUACAAAUGAUGACUAGCAGAAGACAUAUGUCGCUCUACUUAUCGCAAAAAUCAGCGGCGUCUGAUAACUGCCAGUUCCAUCGACAUAUUUGUAGACUAACUAUUGACAGUUCAUUUGGUUACUCAUUGUUGACAGCUAUUUUGUUUGCUAUUUAUUUGUGACGUGUGGUGGCUGGUACUAACCUGAUAUGUAUAUUUGUUUUGUUGAGCCACGCUGGCUUGUACUAUUGGUGGCAGAAUGGCAGCUCACGGGCUGCGAGGUCAUCCAUUGCUCU